rnacentral:rRNA from 1 species
CUUGGUCAUUUAGAGGAAGUAAAAGUCGUAACAAGGUUUCCGUAGGUGAACCUGCGGAAGGAUCAUUAAAGAGACGUUGCCCUUCGGGGUAUACCUCCCACCCUUUGUUUAUUUAUACCUUUGUUGCUUUGGCAGACCCGGCUUCGGCCCACCGGCUCCGGCUGGUCAGUGUCUGCCAGAGGACCUAAAACUCUGUUUGUUAAUAUUGUCUGAGUACUAUAUAAUAGUUAAAACUUUCAACAACGGAUCUCUUGGUUCUGGCAUCGAUGAAGAACGCAGCGAAAUGCGAUAAGUAAUGUGAAUUGCAGAAUUCAGUGAAUCAUCGAAUCUUUGAACGCACAUUGCGCCCUCUGGUAUUCCGGGGGGCAUGCCUGUUCGAGCGUCAUUACAACCCUCAAGCUUUGCUUGGUAUUGGACAUUGCCAGUUUCUGGCAGGUCUUAAAUCAGUGGCGGCGCCAUUUGGCUUCAAGCGUAGUAAUUCUUCUCGCUUUGGAGAUCCAGGUGGUUACUUGCCAAUAACCCCCAAUUUUUUCAGGUUGACCUCGGAUCAGGUAGGGAUACCCGCUGAACUUAAGCAUAUCAAUAAGCGGAGGA